GGAUAACCCUGAUUUCCAUAUGCAGAUUUAUCUGCACUGACAGCCCCCUCUCCCUCUCUUAGUCUUUCUGUUUCCUCUCUCCCUCCCUCUCUCUCCCUCUUUCUCUUCCCCUCUCUUUCUCUUCCUCUCUGUCUUUUUGUCUCUCUUUAUGUCUAUUGCAUUAUGCUUGAAUAAUUUUCAGCUGGUUUUUUUUUUUUUCUUUCCUCUCGCACGCACAUGCUAAAAUAACUAGACAAAGAUGCAAGGUGGUUGCUGCAGUCCCUGUCUCUAGGACAAAACCAAGAAAGCUCGGGAUUGCAAUGCCACCUUUCCUUUUUUUUUUUUUCUUUUUCUUUUUUUUUUUCCCCACCCAUGCUCGGUGAUUAAACUUACCCAGGAUGGGGAAGAAAAAGGAGCUGGAAAUUAAAUAGGGUUAAGGAAAAAGCCCAUUGCAGCAGCUGCAGCCAGUGGUGUCUGCUGCCAGAUGUGCUAAGGUUCCUAGGGUCCUUGACACUAAAAGGCAGUAUUAAAAUAUUUGGAGACAAAAGCUGCAUCUUCAGUGAUCAUUUUCUUUAUUUAACAUGGCAGCAAGCACCAUGUGGGGGAAAAUCAACACGCUGGAUGUUCAAUUGGACUUUUCUCCUUUCUAGGAUGAAAGGAUGUUAUCUAUCCCGUGCCAAGAGGGAACUGAGGUGCAGGGGGAGGGGAAGAAAGUCUUCCAAACUAGCCCGCCAUGGUACUGGUCUCUUAGCCUGUAAGGCUUGUGCAUGA
rnacentral:lncRNA from 1 species